GACGAACGCUGGCGGCGUGCUUAACACAUGCAAGUCGAACGGAAAGGCCCUGCUUUUGUGGGGUGCUCGAGUGGCGAACGGGUGAGUAACACGUGAGUAACCUGCCCUUGACUUUGGGAUAACUUCAGGAAACUGGGGCUAAUACCGGAUAGGAGCUCCUGCUGCAUGGUGGGGGUUGGAAAGUUUCGGCGGUUGGGGAUGGACUCGCGGCUUAUCAGCUUGUUGGUGGGGUAGUGGCUUACCAAGGCUUUGACGGGUAGCCGGCCUGAGAGGGUGACCGGCCACAUUGGGACUGAGAUACGGACCAGACUCCUACGGGAGGCAGCAGUGGGGAGUAUUGCACAAUGGGCGGAAGCCUGAUGCAGCAACGCCGCGUGCGGGAUGACGGCCUUCGGGUUGUGAACCGCUUUCGCCUGUGACGAAGCGUGAGUGACGGUAAUGGGUAAAGAAGCACCGGCUAACUACGUG
rnacentral:rRNA from 1 species